GUUUUCAUUCAUUCCUCAUCCAGUCGUCUGUGAUCCGGCCAUGUCAUGCUAUGCCAGGUUUCCAGUGAAGAACAUGUUUCGGCUCUGCUCAAACUCAAAACAAACCUCUCUAAAGCCGACAUGAGUACCAUCACAUCCACUGUGCUGGACAUACUAAGAGAAAGCUAUACUGGUGGUGAAACCCGGAUGUUUUUCUCCAAUGUUAAAGUGAUGAGCCCUUCAUUUCCAUCAUGUAUCUCAUCAUGCCGUGGAUAAGAUGAGUUGAAUUCUAGUGCUUUCAGUCUGUCAGUAAGGAUGUACAAAGUGACUGGACAUGGACAAGCCUGAUUCAAAUGUUACUGGUACUAUGCUAAUAACAAACAUCAGACUGUGUGUGUCCACAUGUGACCAGAUUGCAGGAGACAAUCUUUUCCUCUCUGCAUUUUUGCAUUUUGUGUUGUAUUGUGAAAUGUGCUCUUUGCAUGAUGCUACAGUACUUUAGAAUUUAAUGACUCUGUAUCUUUUAAUAUGUUAGAUUUGUCUCUAAAAGACGAUGUCACGAUUUUUGAGGCAAACCGUGUGGAGACGAGAGAUGUGGACCCAAGAAAUAGAUGCAGGAGAAUGUUUAAAUUGAAGACGAGCCUUGAUUAGCACUAGAAAAAGCAACUAGUGAGGGGAACAGUCACUAGCGAGGGACACUAACAAAACCUAGACUGGGAGAAGCUAACAUGAAACCUGAAAGAAAGAAUGAGGAAACCUGAAAACUGGAAACACAGGUAGAGGAACGCAGGAAAAGAUGAACAGGGGGGUGAUACAGACGCUCUGAUGAGGAACAGAGGUUAACACACUAAA